rnacentral:rRNA from 1 species
GACGAACGCUGGCGGCGUGCUUAACUCAUUCAAGUUGAACGGAGAGUCCCUGCUUUUUUGGGGUGCUCUAGUGGCGAACGUGUGAGUAACACGUGAGUAACCUGCCCUUGACUUUGGGAUAACUUCAGGAACCUGGGGCUCAUACCGGAUAGGAGCUCCUGCUGCAUGGUGGGGGUUGGAAAGUUUCGGCGGUUGGGGAUGGACUCGCGGAUUAUCAGCUUGUUGGUGGGGUAGGGGCUUACCAAGGCUUUGACGGGUAGCCGGCCUGAGAGGGUGACCGGCCCCAUUGGGACUGAGAUAGGGCCGAGACUCCUACGGGAGGAAGCAGUGGGGAAGAUUGCACAAUGGGCGGAAGCCUGAUGCAGCAACGCCGCGUGCGGGAUGAAGGCGUGGGGGUUGUAAGCCGCGUUCGCCUGUGGCGAAGCGUGUGUGACGGUAAUGGGUAAAGAAGCAACGGCUAACUACGUG